rnacentral:rRNA from 1 species
UACAAGGACGCUUCAACCGAGUCGGGUAGCUUGGGAAUGCUGCUCUAAUUGGUGGUAAAUCUCAUCAAAGGCUAAAUAGUGGUGGGAGACCGAUAGCGAACAAGUACCGUGAGGGAAAGAUGGAAAGAACUUUGAAAAGAGAGUGAAAAGCACUUGAAACCGUCACGGGGGAAGCGGAUUGCGUGAGUGAUGGUGUCGCUUGUUCAGCGCUUUAUUGCGUGCAUUCUGGCGGCGCCGUGCCGGCGUGGCUGGCUGGACUGUGAUUUUGACAGUCUCGGCUGGUGAGGGCUCCCUCGUAUGAGGUGAGGACGCGGGCAAAAUGACGCAAUACGACCCGUCUUGAAACACGGACCAAGGAGUCUAGCACGGCUGCGAGUCGAAGAGUGAUUAAACUCAAGGGCGCAGUGAAAGCGAAAUUAUAAGCAAAUUGGGGAGGCGUUGCGUUUUUAACAAAAUGUCCUACCUCGAGCAUUUGUGCUGGGACCCGAAAGAUGGUGAACUAUGCCGGAGUAGGGCAAAGCCAGAGGAAACUCUGGUGGAGGCUCGUAGCGAUGCUGACGUGCAAAUCGCUCGUCGAACUUGGGUAUAGGGGCGAAAGACUAAUCGAACCAUCUAGUAGCUGGUUCCCUCCGAAGUUUCUCUCAGGAUAGCGGGCCGACACGCGUUUGUUGUUUUGUGCGGUAAAGCGAAUGAUUAGUGCAUUUGGGGUACGAAGUACUUCGGGCGAUUCUCAAACUUUAAAUGCGCAAGGGGGUGGCUGCUUAAUUGAGCCUACUCUUUGAAAAACGUCGGCCCUGUGGGCCACUUUUGGUAAGCA